UCGAGAAUAAUUCGCAAUGGGCGAAAGCCUGACGAUGCGACGCCGCGUGAACGAUGAAGGCCUUCGGGUUGUAACGUUCUGUUGUCCUGGAACAAGAGUGAUCGUCGAAUAGGCGGUCACGAUGAGGGUACAGGAAGAGGAAGCACCGGCUAAUUCCGUGCCAGCAGCUGCGGUAAUACGUAGGGGGCAAGCGUUACUCGGAUUUACUGGGCGUAAAGCGAAUUAAGGCGGUCUUGUAAGUCAGAGGUGAAAUCCCUCAGCCUAACUGAGGAAUAGCCUUUGAUACUGCUUGACUAGAGGACAGGAGAGGAAAGUGGAAUUCCCGGUGUAGCGGUGGAAUGCGUAGAUAUCGGGAGGAACACCAGAGGCGAAGGCGGCUUUCUGGACUGGUCCUGACGCUGAUAUUCGAAAGCUAGGGGAGCAAACA
rnacentral:rRNA from 1 species